UGGGGAAUUUUGGACAACGGGCGCAAGCCUGAUCCAGCCAUGCCGCGUGCGGGAAGAAGGCCUUCGGGUUGUAAACCGCUUUUGUCAGGGAAGAAAUCUUCUGAGUUAAAUACCUCGGGAGGAUGACGGUACCUGAAGAAUAAGCACCGGCUAACUACGUGCCAGCAGCCGCGGUAAUACGUAGGGUGCAAGCGUUAAUCGGAAUUACUGGGCGUAAAGCGUGCGCAGGCGGUUUUGUAAGACAGAGGUGAAAUCCCCGGGCUCAACCUGGGAACUGCCUUUGUGACUGCAAGGCUUGAGUGCGGCAGAGGGGGAUGGAAUUCCGCGUGUAGCAGUGAAAUGCGUAGAUAUGCGGAGGAACACCGAUGGCGAAGGCAAUCCCCUGGGCCUGCACUGACGCUCAUGCACGAAAGCGUGGGGAGCAAACAGGAUUAGAUACCCUGGUAGUCCACGCCCUAAACGAUGUCAACUGGCUUGUUGGGAAGGUUCCUUCUCAGUAACGUAGCUAACGCGUGAAGUUGACCGCCUGGGGAGUACGGCC
rnacentral:rRNA from 1 species